rnacentral:lncRNA from 1 species
GGAUUCUCAGAUGUCCUCUCUCUCAGCUUUCUCAUGUUACAGAUAAGGAAACUGAGGCCUGGACAGUACUGAGAAAGGCAGUGAGGGUCCUACAGAGGGAAGCAGUGCUUACAAGCUUCUGUCAUAUCCAGGACCAGAACACCUGUAUUGCAUGUCCUGAGUCCUGGAGGGCAGCUUGCGUUCCCCUGUCCAUCCUGUCCCUUGCAGAGGGAGGGUUGGGACAGAGGAGCACAGUCAAGGUUUCUGAUCAACCCCUGGGACAGCAGGCACCAUUUCAGCCAUCCUCUUCCUGGUGAGCUGGGUUGGAUUGCAUCAAAGACCCAACAGCAUACCUCAGUAUCUUCUGCACGGGACCCUCGGACCUGCCCACACCUGCUCAAAGUCAACCUGUUUCUGCCUGUGUUUGCAGCAGCAUUAGAGGUCAGCUGCCCCCUUGCCACAUCCCUAAGUGGUGGAUUCAGACCAGAAAAUAUCAGCAUGCCUUCCAUUUAUAACAUCCCAUGCCCUUCCUGGCCUGAUUACAUCUGUUUGAUCCAUCCUCUUGAGAAUUAGGCAAAAUAGGGAUAAACAGCCGCUUCUUUGAAGACUAGUUUGUGAGGAAAACAACUGCCACAAGGUUAGAGUAAAUUGUUUGGGAUUUACCAUUAGCUACCAUGCCCCACUGUAUACUAAAUAUUACACACAGUCAUUUCCAGCUUAGCAUGCCUCUCUGUCCAUCUGUAAGCUCCCAAUACAUCUGUGUUCUCUCAUGUUCCCUGAGACUCCCAGGUCUCCAGGGUUCCCAUAAGUUAAGAAACUGGUACCUCUCCUCGUUCUUCUGCCAACCGUAUAUUCAUUCAGGCUUCAAGACCCAGCUCGAAGGCUCCAUGAAGCACUUCCCCCUCCUGCCCCCCUCCCCCACAUCUGAACUACCUGCUCCUUUGUACCUUUGUGGACAACUGAGUCUCUUGCUAAGUAGCUUAUUUGCUCUCAUGACCCCCUCACUGGCUUGAUAUCUUUUCCUGGGUAGAGACAAUACUAUUCUUUUAAAACACUAUUCUUCCCAUAAUGCUUUGUACAUCAAAGCUGCACUACACAUUUCGACACAGGCCCAGCCCGGAACAGUCCUGCCUCUGCUGCUUGGGUGUUAAAGUGACUCGGACAGUUGAGUCCGGGACAGAAAAACUUCAGCAAUCCUGCUUCCAUGCCUACAGACAAGAUUCUUCUCAAGCUGGGGCAAGUCCUGCCAGGGAGGAGAACGGCAAAGACAGAGCCAAGCUUCUGCAGGGCUAAGGAAGCAGGCUGUGCGGCACGAGGGGAAGUGAACUGACAGCCCUGAGUCUUGGGCUUGGGAACUAAUGCUGCAGGCUGAAUCAGGGAAACAGAGCGGCUUCUCUCUGCCUCAGUUCCUAUUUUUUUUUAUUAGAUAUUUUCUUUAUUUACAUUUCAAAUGUUAUCCCGAAAGUUCCCUAUACCCUUUGGUUCCUAUUUUUGACACGUCCUGACGAUGCCCUUGCCCAUUUUACAAUGAUGGAAGGUGUGGGCUUCAGGGACGGAGGCACAGAGACACUCCAUCCCACUACUUCUGAUCCCUGCUGUGUGGACUGCUUGGUUGGAGAGUGGGGCAAGGCCAGUGAGAGAUGGAGUGGAGAAGCUGACCUGGGGUCAGACAAACCUGGUUUAAGGCCUGACCCAUCAGUUCUGAGCUAGCCCAGAGCCUCAGGAGAAGCUCUGGUCCAUCCUGUCUAGAGCAGACCAUAGGUCCCCACCAGCCUUUCCUACCUCACUCAUAGGAGUGAGCUUUUGCACAACAGCACAGAGGAGGUACUUUGCAAACUUUUCUUGAGCCCUUCCUGCCUGCUCUAGUCACCUAGGUGGGUCAGUGAGAGCCGGGGCUUCAGAGAAGCAAGGGGAAGGGGAAGGACUCCAGAGCCAUCUCAAUAUGAGCCAGGGGAAGGCUGAAGUAGUAAGAGAACCAGGACUCAGGAGCAAAGGCAGAGAAACACAGUUGGCUGCCAUGGGCUGCCGCACCAGCCAUAGCCCCGGAUAGUAGGUGUUGGGUGCGGCUGAGAGGUUUCUUGGUGUAUCUCCGGAGGUAGUGAAGUUGGGGAUUAGCUUGGCUUUUAGAGCAUAACUGGUCCCACAGCAAUGGCUUGUGUUUGUCAAGAGCCACUGUUUGUUUAACAUCUCAAGCCCAAGUCAAACACAAAAGGCAACUUUUAGCAAAGCAGGACUCUGUGGGCUAUCAGGAGAGGACUGGGCUGAAGAGCUAAACACCUGGCCCUCUUAGCCUUGCUUUAGCUGGCUGAGGGAAAGGGCUGUCUCAAUCUGAGAGCUCAAAGGGUGCAAAAUCCUGGCGUCUAAUAAGACGGAGGACCAGUUAUUCUCAGAAACACUGCUGGGGGGGGGGGGGGGGGCUCAGGUUUGCUCCUGGUCAGCAUUUGCAUAAAGAUUAAGUCCUGAGUCUAGGCUGCCCGUCCCCUCCCCCCUCCACCGAGACAGCCCUCCUUUCUCCUGGCUGCAGUCUACCUGCAGUGAGCAUCCCCACCCCAUGGGUGCUUGAGCAUGUGCUGGGAGGGGCAGCUAGGACCCAUACCCAGAAGUGGCCACAGUGUAUCCGCCCCCUGUGUGUUACUAAAUCCUGCUGCUUGUCCUCAGCUGGCUAUCUUGGUUUUUAUUCUCUCUGGCAGUGUGGGAGCUUGCCCACUUCCUCCUCAGCGAUGCUGCCGUUACUCACUUUCUGAUUUCCAUGUAUUUUCCAGGCCUCCCUAUUUUCUCUGAAGACUCCUCCUUCUCUCCCUUUCCCUUUCUUCUUUAGAACUUCUGCAGUCUCACCCUUGAAGCAGGGACACUGGAGGGACUCAGCCAUUACUGAGAUCACAGGCAGGCCAACGGGUAAGACUCCUCUUCAGCCUGCUGUAUGUGGGCAUGUGUGCAUGUGUGCAUGUGUGCAUGUGUGCAUGUGUGCAUGUGUGCAUGUGUGCCCGUGUGUGCAUGUGUGCCCGUGUGUGCAUGUGUGCAUGUGUGCAUGUGUGCCCGUGUGUGCAUGUGUGCAUGUGUGCCCGUGUGUGCAUGUGUGCAUGUGUGCCCGUGUGUGCAUGUGUGCCCGUGUGUGCAUGUGUGCAUGUGUGCAUGUGUGCAUGUGUGCCCGUGUGUGCAUGUGUGCAUGUGUGCAUGUGUGCAUGUGUGCAUGUGGGCAUGUGGGCAUGUGUGCAUGUGUGCAUGUGUGCAUGUGUGCCCGUGUGUGCAGGUGUUGUGAGCUUUACUGUUUCAGCUUCUGUCCUGGUCUCCUCCCCAUCCUUGAAUUUCUAAGCCUUCACAUUUUCCACUCUACCCAUUCACUUUUCUUUCGUUAAAUUACACAAUUAAAGCCAGAGAAAUCCUUAGACCUCUAGUACUCUGAAGAAAACAAGGCCCGACAAGGGACACAGAUACCUCUAGGCCUUGAAGCACACAGGGCCAGAGCUGGGACUCAUGCCCAGCUCCGCUGGCUGCCCUAUCUAUAGCCACAAGAUAAGUCCCUGUUCUUGCAACUUGCAUAGCAAGACCCCCCAGAUGGUCUUCUGGAGAGAUUCUAGAGUGGCCAUGGCCCAUCUUUCCGGAUAAACACAGAGUUGCUGAAGAAAAGAGAGGCCGGAGAUGUCAUCAACAGCUCACAAAUCUUGAAAUCCUUCUUUGCAGGUUUAUGGUUUCUGAGAAGCAGAGGCAGCCUGUUCUCAGCACCAAACACAAUAAUUAUAAUAGCACUCGCAAUGAUUAAUCAGCCAGUGAGUAUUGAGUGGUGCUGGGCAGGCAGGCACAGCAGGAUGAGCGUAGUGUGUGUGUGUGUGUGUGUGUGUGUGUGUGUGUGUGUGUGUGUGUGUUUGUGUGUGUAUGUGUGUGUGUCGGGACAGGGGAACAGGAAAAGUGGUGACUCUGCUCCCACAAGCAAGCUGUGAAUGCGUUCUCCUUAAUGGAAGGGGGCAAAAUGCCACCGUAGCCCUUCCUGGAGUUGGCAUGCUUAAGGGGGACCUGGGGCUGUCCAAGACUGCAGUUGUUCUGGCUCAGGCAGGACCCUGAGCUGGACAUGGAGCCCUAGACUGCAUUGGAAGCCACGAAUUGACAAACAAGAGCAGGAUCCAGGCCUGUCAGCCAGAUUAAUGAGGGGCCUUGCCAGGUUGGUGUUCAUGGCACGGGCAAGAGGACUUGGGAUGUUCAGCCUGGAGAAGGAGACAGGGGCCAUGUGAGCUGUCACACAGGACGGAUUAGCUUUGUCCUGUGGGGCCAAGAGGGGACCAGUGACCUUUGGGAUGAUGCACCAACAAUCAGCACAGCAUAAGAUGGAGUGCCCUCUAUGUCUCCCAGGAAGGCACAAACUGCUGGGGUGGCAAUGACCUCAUGGUCAAGAGAGCAUGCAAGCAUAGUCUAAUUGCUCUGUUUUAGAAAGAUUCUUGGAGCUAGUACCAGGCCCAGCACAUAGUAUGUCUACAAGAAAUGAGUGUAUUGGGUUCAGGGGUUAGACGAGAUAGAUGCCCUUUGUGAUUCAAGUGGGUUCACUCUUAACAUUGCUGGAGCAGUCUGUCUAUGCUCCAGUCUGGAAUGCUGUAAGUCCCUGGCUCUCAGCCUCCAGAAGGGCUGCUCUGGAGUUCUUGCUGCUCAAUCUCCUCAAUGCUGUCUUCUCUUGAUUACCCUCAAACCAAUCCCAAUGCCCACCCACAUCCACCCUACUCGCCGCCACCUGCAGAGGUCCAACAUGCAACAUGCCCAGUAGCCCUGGGGCUUCAGCAAAGGAAAUGGGCCUGUGGCAGGCUAAUUACUGGAAGCUGAUUCUAUUAAGUAGAUAGCUCGCUCCCAGCAAAGCAAUUACACCUAAUCAGCCCCUUGCAGCAGCCCAAUGGGACAGCCGUGUGAGCCAGACACACGUGUGAGCAGGGACAUCAAAGCUGCCUGGGAACAGGCCUGGUGGGCUCUUCUAAGGCCAAGGAUGCUUCCAAAGUGGUCUCAGCCUGCCUCGGGGACCCUAGCAAUGUUAGUGGAAACCACACUGGGGUGGGGGGUGGGAGGCUCAAAACCCUGAGCCAAGACUGAGCUCAGCCACAGAAGAGCUGAACUUCACUGAAGAGACUACUUCUCGAACUUGUGCCUUAGCUUCCAAGUACUCAAACGAACAUGUCAGACUAGAGAGGAUCCAUUCCAAGCUUGAAACUCUAGUCACUUUAGAGUCUCAACUAGGUUAAAGUUAUUCAUAAGAAACCUGUUUGAUAGGCUAGAGAGACAGCUCAGUCAGUAAUACGCCUCUUGCUUUGCAGGCACAGGGAGCUGAGUUCUAGCCCCACAAUCUACAUUAACAACAACCAGGCCGGAUAGUGCUUGUUUGUGAUCCCAGUGCUGGGGAGGUGGAGAUAAACAGAUCCUUGGACUCCACUGGCCAACUAGCUUUGCCUACUCUAUGAGUUACAAGCCAGUGGGAGACCCUGUCUUAAAACAAAAACAAUAAAAACAAGAUGGACAGUAAAGGUUGUCCUUUAGCCUCCACAUGCUUUUGCACACACACACAAACACACACAUACAUACACACACACACAAAUACACACAUACAUAUACACACACAAACACACACAUACACACACAAGCACACAUACAUAACACACACCACAUACAAACAUAUAUAUAUAUAUAUAUAUAUAACACACAUACACAUACACCACACACAAACACACACACACACACAAACACACAAACCUACACACAUACACACAUAUACAAACCCUCACAUACACAAACACACAUACAUAACACACACACAUACAUAUGCACAACACACACAUAUACUCUCUCUCUCUCUCUCUCUCUCUCUCUCAUGUAUGUGUCCUCCCUCACCUGUUUAAAAUAUCCAAAAAUAUCCAGACUUGGGAACAUGUAUUCCAAGAUCAAGUUCUUUUGGCUUUAUUGAUUUUUAUUUUAUGUGUAUGAACAUUUGUCUACAUGUAAGUAUGUGCACCGCAUGUGCUUAUCCCUAAUGUAGAAGGAAGUGUUAGGUCCCCUAGGCUGGAAUUUAAAUACUUACGAGCUUCCAUGUAGGUGCUGGGAACCAAACCUGGGUAUUCUGCAAGAGCAGCAUCUGCUUUGAACCAAUGAGACAUUUCUUCACCCCCAUCAGCCCAUUAGACCAUGUUUUAAAAAAUAACUGGAGUAAUUAUAUAUUAUUUGUAUUUGUAUUUUUAUCUAGGAAUUUUAUGAAAUGAGUUUUUCCAAAGCAUCCAUGACUUUUUAAAAAAGGAACACUUUGGUGGCAUCUAGAUCCCAGGUUUAUCAAGGAAGUAGGACCACGUAAACAGAAAUAGGCAUAUGCUGGUGCUCCUGACAGCAGAGGGAUGGGGCCACCCGGCCCUGGAGAGGUGGCCAUGGACAACUACUGAAGCGACUGUCAUCAGAGUUCUCAGUGAAGCAGGAUUCAAUCCGUGAUCAGUCUGGCUCCAGCCUGUGCUUCUCCCUCUCCGCCACGCUCCCUCACUAGAAAAUGACUGAGGGCAGAGCCAGGCAACAACAGGGGAAUCAGAACAGAAGGUGCUGUUAACGCUGGGCUGGCACACAGCUAGAGCUCAGAAAAAUGCAGUCACAUGAAUGAAUGAGAAGCUCUGAACGGAAGGCACCGGGCAGGUCCAAGAAUCAGCAUCAGCGUUUCCCAUGGCUGGACAGAUGCUCAGCUUCAGGUGGAAAACAGGUCCCAGAUGUGAGCAAGGCCUGGUGACUAUAGCUCACACAGGGGCUCAGGGACAAAACCAUCAGGGAACAGCUCUGGACCCACUGAAGGUGGAGAUGAGGAAGGGAGGCAGAGCUAUCUUGGCACAGAGCUCGGGCACCCAGCCCAGGCAGGGACUCAGAAGGUCUCCGUGUCUGUGCGGAGCCAAAGGAUAUUGUUGGGGCUUUGAGCUAGUGCCUGAAGAAGAACGUCUAUCCAGGGGCCCUCAGAGACCUGAAGGGGAUGGGACCAUCCUACCCAUAUGGACCAGGGUUGCCACUGGGAGGGGCCCAAGGUGGGGGUGGGAUAUCCAGGCCAUGAGUACAUAGAUCUCUGCUCAUCCAGAGAUGAUAUGUGUGGUCCAGUGAACCAUAGAAACCACGGUAUGUCAGGGAGAUGGAGGUCAGCUGGGAGGCAGCGCUCAGGCAGAAGGGCACAGCCAUCAGGGACAUGGAAAAAGUGAUGUCGUUAAGGAACAAUGUGAGCCAAAGGAAUGAGCUGUAACUGGCUGGACCUGAAAGGACAAGUGGGAAAGCGGCUGCCAGACGCCCAUGGGUGUCUGAUGAUGGCCUGCCACUACCCUGAGGAAGGGACUGAGCCUCAGCCCCGAGGCUUAGAAGAAAGUUACCCAGCAGGCCUCAUGGCCCUUCUCUGCCUUUAAUACUAUGCCCUUCACCCCUUGGUCUGUUAAUCAAUGCGUGAUAAAUCGAGUCCCGAAAGACCUCCUGUCCAGACUGCACUGCCCUGAUUUUCCAGAGAAGAUCCAAGAAGGCAGCAGGAGGAUAAAGACUGAGUUCUUGGUCAUGCAAGAUGGCCUAAGUCUCUCCCCUACCCCAGCUUCCAAGAGGGGAGUCAUGACCUCUUCUCCCCAAGAAAAUGGGACAAGGAGGACACUGACUCAGGCUUCUCUUUUCUCCUUUGGAAAGAGCUGAGAAAGGCCAGUCCAACCCUGUAGCUCCAAAAGAAAGCCAGCUUGAAGCUGAGGAGGCCUGGCUGGGAGAGAGACUCCUUGGGCCUCUCCUGGAAUGGUGGGCUGUGGAAAGCCCAAGCGGGAUCUCAGCAGCCCUGAGAAGUCUAGGACCUGUCAGGACUGAGAAAGGGACACUGUGUGGUGAGGACCGAGCUGAUCCAAAGUCUCUAACAGAUGACGAAGCAGGCCUAACUAGGGCCAGGGCCAGGCUGACAUGACUCCAGCGUGUGAGUUUCCUUGUGCCCCACCCCCAUGCUGUUUCCCACUGAGAAAAAUGUUUGUUGGCAUCAAAAUCCCUGGGACCAUGUUUAGGGUGGAUGGGGACCCCAUCUAUUCUUCUGCUACUCUGUGAGGUGCAACAUCUUCAUAGGGGGGUUCUCACCUGGUAUUUGGGGGUAAAGGACCUUGUAGGACUGAGGGAGUGGGGCUGUAAAGGGUAGCUGAUUCCCAGUGGCUUGGUUGGGGCAGACAAAUGGCUACAUCAAGGCCUCCAUCCAAUUGCCAAUGAGAUUGCCAGAUAUGUGCAGACACGUGCUUCCCAAGCUCGGGUGUUUUCUUUAUCAUAUCUGUCCAUAUGUGGUUAUGCGGUCUUCCCCACUCCUCCACAGAUGACGGAUAGCUUUGGGGCUUCCUCAGACAGUAGAUGGGCGUGGCAGUACCCACACAAUCCCUACAACACACUGUGGUCUCUCUCCUCUCUGUAGACACAAGAGUCCUCACAAAAUGUUGUGGUUGUCCCUCCGCUGCCAGACAAGUCCCCUCACGGCUCCCAUUAGCAAUCCUGUCUUACCACUGAUGUCUGAGCCCUUUGUCUCUUCAGGCCAGCUAUCUUUCCAACAGCUGGGGGAAGGACAGAAAGGGACACUUCUGGACAGAGGCUGAGACAGAGCAGGGAACUGAGGCAUGGAGCUGGCCUGAGCCUAGUUCAGGUUCUAAGCAUCCCUGUCCUCAGGUCCAGCAAGUGAGCUCUAGGGCUGCAGGGGUAGGGCAGCAGGCUGAGAGUCACUGUUCUGUUUUCUUAAGCUCCCAGCUGGGACUAGGAACACCAAAUCCUCUUUGAAUAAAACAGAAAAGGGAUUAAAAAAAAAUCAAGACAUUAACCUUGUGAAACCAGACCGCCCCUCUCACCCCCUCCCACCCCCGACACAUAGAGAUUAACUUCUUCCCCCAGGCUUUUUCUUUUUUUCAGUUUUCAUUUCUAUAAACAUCUUAAUUCAUGGCAACAUCACAGCCAGCCUGGAUUACAGAUGGAUAUAGAGGUGAAUGAAAUAGUCACACACACGCACAUACACACACGCACACGCACACACCUGGAACAGGGGGAAAGAACAGUGAAUGGGAUUCUAAGGAACCAGGAUUUUUUUGCUGGAGUUUACUUUCCUCGCCUGUAAAGGGAGUAGUUAGCCCUUCUGCCUCUGCCCUUCUGUGAACUCUGUCUUGUCUGCUAGUCCCUUCCAUCAGUGUCCUCUAUGCUGCCAGAGAGCCAGCUCCCCCCCUCCCCCCCACCCAUGGUGACACACCACACCAACUAGAAGUUUCCCUUCAUCCCCAGCACUGGAUGCUACUCUCCUUUCUAUAUCACAGGUUCCAGCAGGGCAAGGACAAGCUGCUACUGUCCCCUGCACCUGUGUAAUGACAGGUGCUCUACAGGUCUUUGUGAGUAAAUGAGUGGGUAACUCUGGAAGCUGCUCUUUAGGUACACUUGGGAUGGGGCUUAGCAUCUUGUAUGAAAUCUGAACCCAAAUCUUGAAAUAGGGUCACUCUCCUCUUGGGGUGAGGAGCACCUGACCUUUCUGGAAAGUUCUUUCCGUUUCCCUCCUGACUCCUGAGAAUGUCUCAAAGUCUCAUUUCUUUUGAAGCCUUCUUCCGAUUUGCCAGCAGCAUUACCCCAAUCAAGCAACAGAUUUUUCGACGCACGUUUUCUGUUCUUCCUCCCACCUUCGUCUGACAAGACGGAUCAUUUCCAUCCCUUAAUUAUGUUUUGGUUUGAGGCUGCAGCCAGCUGCAGUGAUUCUCAACUCUGGGUGGCAGUGGGGAGGAGGGUCAUUAUGGGAGCCUUGUCUCAGUCGAGACCAGGAGACAGGUGCUGGGUUCCUCCAUGGCUUUGAGGCUGGGGUAAAGGUGGAACUUCUGCAGGGUUCUGUCUUCGGUUGGGUCAAAGGUUCAGGGGAAUCCCACUUGGCUCUCAUUUUGGUCAGCAUUCCUCAAAGUAUGCUCAGAGACCAGGGUCCCUUGAGGUGUUCUGCAGAAGAAGCCCCAGCCAGCUCAGAUACAUUUGGGGGAACUCAGCUGCACUCAGCCUUUGAUUACAAGCUGCAAAAGUCAACUCGGCUAAUUUAAGCUCAGAAAGGAUUUAUCCCGGAAGACCUUGGAGAGUUCAGAGAACCUCCUGUAGGAGCAGAAAGUCAAGGUCAGAAGGGAAGCAGCCAGCGGCAACACUCAGUGUCACGUGUUAGGACUGAUCCCAGGAAGGCUCCACUGCUGAGCAGACACAGAGCUUAGGCCGCAGCUCUGCCAGCAUAGCUACCACUCACACUUCCAUGCAACACGUUCUACAGAGUCCUUCCGUUUCUACACUCGAUUCUUCUGGGAGAAUGCAUCUCAUUGGUAGAGUGGAAUCAUGGACCUGCCUCCUAGAAUCCAGAGAAGCUGGGACAAUGAUGGGUUGAUCUAUUCAGCUCCUUCCUGUACCUGAAGGCAACCUCUGUCUCCUCAUACAUGGGCAUGGUGGGUUGAGUGAGAAUGGCCUACAUAGGCUCUUCUGUUUGAAUACUUGCUCCUCAAUUGGUUGAACUGUUUGGGAAGGAUCAGGAGGUCAUACCUUGUUGGAAGAGAUGUGUCACUGGGGGUGGGUUUCAAAGACCGUGUGCUAUUCCAGCUGAGCUCUCUGCUUCCUGCUUGUGGACUGAGACAAUCUCUCAGGGGUUGCUCCAGCUGCUUGCUGCCUCUCUUCUUCUGUCAUGGACUCUAACCCUCUGGAACCAUAAGCCCAAAAUAAACCGCUCCUCCCAU